UACGGAGGGGGCUAGCGUUGUUCGGAAUUACUGGGCGUAAAGCGCGCGUAGGCGGCUUUGUAAGUUAGAGGUGAAAGCCCGGAGCUCAACUCCGGAACUGCCUUUAAGACUGCAUCGCUAGAAUUGUGGAGAGGUGAGUGGAAUUCCGAAUGUAGAGGUGAAAUUCGUAGAUAUUCGGAAGAACACCAGUGGCGAAGGCGACUCACUGGACACAUAUUGACGCUGAGGUGCGAAAGCGUGGGGAGCAAACAGG
rnacentral:rRNA from 1 species